UUUUGGACAAUGGGCGCAAGCCUGAUCCAGCCAUGCCGCGUGAGUGAAGAAGGCCUUCGGGUUGUAAAGCUCUUUCGCCGGGGACGAAACGGUUCGUGCUAAUACCACGGACUACUGACGGUACCCGCAGAAGAAGCACCGGCUAACUACGUGCCAGCAGCCGCGGUAAUACGUAGGGUGCAGGCGUUAAUCGGAAUUACUGGGCGUAAAGCGUGCGCAGGCGGUUUGUUAAGACAGGUGUGAAAUCCCCGGGCUUAACCUGGGAAUUGCGCUUGUAACUGGCAGACUGGAGUGUGGCAGAGGGGGGUGGAAUUCCAAGUGUAGCAGUGAAAUGCGUAGAUAUUUGGAGGAACACCGAUGGCGAAGGCAGCCCCCUGGGCUAACACUGACGCUCAUGCACGAAA
rnacentral:rRNA from 1 species